AGAGUUUGAUUCUGGCUCAGGAUGAACGCUGGCGGCGUGCUUAACACAUGCAAGUCGAGCGAAGCGGCUGAAUUGAUUCUUCAGAUGAUUUUCAGUUGACUGAGCGGCGGACGGGUGAGUAACGCGUGGGUGACCUGCCCCAUACCGGGGGAUAACAGCUGGAAACGGCUGCUAAUACCGCAUAAGCGCACAGAGCUGCAUGGCUCGGUGUGAAAAACUCCGGUGGUAUGGGAUGGGCCCGCGUCUGAUUAGGCAGUUGGCGGGGUAACGGCCCACCAAACCGACGAUCAGUAGCCGGCCUGAGAGGGCGACCGGCCACAUUGGGACUGAGACACGGCCCAAACUCCUACGGGAGGCAGCAGUGGGGAAUAUUGCACAAUGGGGGAAACCCUGAUGCAGCGACGCCGCGUGAGCGAAGAAGUAUUUCGGUAUGUAAAGCUCUAUCAGCAGGGAAGAUAAUGACGGUACCUGACUAAGAAGCCCCGGCUAACUACGUGCCAGCAGCCGCAGUAAUACGUAGGGGGCAAGCGUUAUCCGGAUUUACUGGGUGUAAAGGGAGCGUAGACGGCAAGGCAAGUCUGAUGUGAAAACCCAGGGCUUAACCCUGGGACUGCAUUGGAAACUGUCUGGCUCGAGUGCCGGAGAGGUAAGCGGAAUUCCUAGUGUAGCGGUGAAAUGCGUAGAUAUUAGGAAGAACACCAGUGGCGAAGGCGGCUUACUGGACGGUAACUGACGUUGAGGCUCGAAAGCGUGGGGAGCAAACAAGA
rnacentral:rRNA from 1 species